AUGAGAUAUACUUUCACAGUAAAGAAUGGAACUGAGCUCAUCCCACUUUGCACACUUCAGCGUGACAUCAAAUUAUUUGAUUUUAGAAAGACAUAUGUGAGGAAACUUAGGAAAUAUAUUUUCUUGCACUGCUGGCAUUUGAGAGAGGGAGAAAGGGAGAUGGACAGAAUGAAAAUAGAUGUGGAAGAGAAGGCAAAGAUGGAGGUGAAGAAAGUGAAAGAAGAGUUGGAGGGAUUGGAGAAGAUUAAAGAGGGAAAAGAGAGGGAGAAAUGGAGAUGGAGGAGUUUGAGAAGAGGAAGGAAGAGGAGGUGGAGGGUGUGAAGCUGGAAAUGGAGGAGAAGCUGAAGAUGGAGGUAGAGAGGUUGAAGCUUAUAAAGGUAAGGAUGGAGGAAAAUUGGAAGACCAAGAUGGAGAGAGUGAGAGUUGAUUGUGGAAGAGAAGAUAAACGAGAGAAAGUAGUUUGACUGUAAGAGAAGAGGAUGUGGACGAGAGGAGUUGGAAGGAGUGAUGGAGAAGAAGAAAGAAAAGGAGGAGAUGUUUAAGAAGGAGGUGGAGAAGAUAAAGCUGGAGAAGGAGAAGGUGGUGAAGGAAGUGAGGAGGGAAGUGGAGGAGAAGCGAGUGAGAGAGUGGAUUGAGAGAGUGGUGUGAGAGAGUGGAUUGAGAGAGUGGAUUGAUAGAGUGGAUUGAGAGAGCGGAGGAGACCUUCUGUAAUUGUCCUACAGCAUACGAUACAGGUGCCUCUAUUACCACAGCUACUAAUCAGUAGAAUUAGCUUGAAUGUAUGUAGCCAGAGCCACUAUUCAGUUGCGAUUGAAUGGACUCUAGCCAGACUUAAAUUGAGAUUGAAUGGACUCCAGGUACCAUGCUACUGUGGAUGAACUAAACCUUUUUUUCACUUUCAGAUUCACAGAUGGGACAUCUACAGUGAUUACAUCUCUGACCUCAUCAAAAAGGAAUAGGAUGGAGGGAGGAACACACAUGCACGCACACGCACAACACUACCAUUUUUCUACAAUUAGUUCUUUAAAAACAUCACAUUUCAAAUAAAGGCAAGCAAAGGCAAAGUGGUUGUCCUAGGUAUAAAUUGACCACAGAUUUAAGGGUUAUUAUAAAGUAAGAAAGUUGUACUAAACUCAAAAUGAAUUUUCUAUUAUCUUCUUCUAUGGGAUUACAUAAUAAAUGGAAAUGAAAAUGUAACAGCAGGAACUCUUACAGACUGGGCCAAGAGCAUGAUUUUUUUUUUUUACCUCUACUACUACUGUACUAAUACUACUACUACUACUGUACUUCUACUACUGUACUACUACGACUGCUAUUACUACUACUGCUGUACUGCUAUCGUAUUACUAUUGUACUACUGCUACAACCACUACUGAUGCUACUACUACUACUACUACUGUACUACUACUACUGCUGCUACUACUACUACUGCUGCUACUACUACUACUACUGUACUACUACUACUACUACUACUACUACUGCUUACUACUGUACUACCACUACUGCUGCUACUACUACUACUACUACUACUGUACUACCACUACUGCUGCUACUACUACUACUGUACUACUGUACUACUACUACUGUUCUACCACUACUGCUGCUGCUACUACUACUACUACUACUACUACUACUGUACUACUGCUACUACCACUACUACUUUACUACUACUACUGCUACU
rnacentral:lncRNA from 13 species